rnacentral:rRNA from 1 species
UACAGAGGGUGCGAGCGUUAAUCGGAAUUACUGGGCGUAAAGCGCGCGUAGGCGGCUUUGCAAGUCGAGUGUGAAAUCCCCAGGCUUAACCUGGAACUGCAUUCGAGACUGCAUAGCUAGAGUAUGGGAGAGGGAAGUGGAAUUUCAGGUGUAGCGGUGAAAUGCGUAGAUAUCUGAAGGAACAUCAGUGGCGAAAGCGACUUCCUGGACCAAUACUGACGCUCAUGUGCGAAAGCGUGGGGGAGCAAACAGG